ACGCUCCCCCCGCAGCCCGGCGGGGCGGGACCGGGCGGGAUGCGCUGCGGCGCCUUCCCGCGCAGCCCCGGGGCGCAGAGGGGCGGCGGCGGCGCACCUGCUUCCGCGGGAGCGGCGAUUGAAAUGACCCCGGAGCUCAGCUCGGGGCGUUCUGCGCUGGAGCCGGCUCCUGCUCUGCACACCUGCCGGCGCAAGGCGCCCGCCUGUACCCGUCUGCGGACGAGGCGGAGCGCGACUUUGGGGUGCCUGUGGCAGUGAGGGGUGGUAAAGUCACCCCCGGAGUGCCAGUUCACGGCGUUUUAGGUCCUCUGAAAAUCGGACUGCACAACGGGAAAUUUGCAAAGGCGUCGGCAACCUGACGGGCUAAAGCGAAAAGCUGCGCCGCUCCCUUUCACAGAGCAAUCACAGCGAUGUGUAAAUAAGAACUACUGCGGGGAAGGCAGGGCACAGUCCUUUUCCAAUGGGAAUGGUGAAUGCCUGGUGCCUUUUUCAGUCAAUCCCAUUCUUCGGGUGUCAGCAGUUCUGUGAAAUUACAGUGUACAUGACCGAGGUCAAGGUGACCUGUUUGUUGUGGGUUUUGCCAGUAUAGCAACAGACGUAAUGACGUAUUCGUAACGUUUUUAGGACUGUAUCAUCCAUUUCAAGGCAAGCGCACAGAUUUGGUGCAUGGUGAAAUGUCCCACAUGCGCCUGAACUGUCCUCAUUUUGUAUGGAAAACGAUGAUGAGACCUUGUUGCUCAUUUAUAAGAAGAAUGGUAAAAUGCACCCAGGAAGAAAAAUUGCUAUGUUUCUAAUGGCCGCAUUACAGGAACUCUGCAACAUGUGAGUGCAAUCUGCACUGCUCCAGAAUACUGAGUCUUUAAAAUUUUACCCAUGCAGUCUGUUUGCUGGUUCAAAUAAUCUGCUUUUUCAAGUGGUUUUAAGUAACGCCUCACUGAUUGAAUUAUAAUUUUCCUGACUUUGUAAUUGCCAAGAAUGUCCUUGGCAAAACAUACAUAGAAUGUGUUUCAUCCAAUUUUGAAAUGUAUUUUGUAAUCCGAAUAAUAAAAGUUAAUAUUCAUCAGUUCCUCCCACCAUAGUUUCAACGAUUCAUUUGUUUUCAUUGUCAUGCUUUUCUUUCUCCCCUUUUUAAAGUGUUUUUUUGUUCUUUUUUUUCCUUUCCUUUGUUUUCAUCCUCCUUAUCCCUAAGUCACCCUCAUUUUUAUACCUUCCGUUUGUUUGCUUUUUUAUUUUGUUCUUUUGUGUGCCUUUACACAUUGGAAGCUUCCUUACAAAGUUUGAACAUUUAGGAUAGUUAAACUUUUUUACUUUUAAUCUGGAGAUUCUGUUCCUACUUUAUGUUUUAAGGUUGUUGUAAAAUAAACUGUAAGUUUGUUAGUUAGACGUUGUAAAAAUUGAAUUGUGUUCAGUGACACAGGUAGAAAUUAAAUAAAGUUUUCAAUUUAUUAUACAGGGAGGUAAUGGGGGUUGUGUAGCUGAAGAACUAUCUGCUGUGUACUUCUAAAUGUCAGUUUACAGCAGAGAGCUAUCUGUAGAUUCACACCUCACUGUAACAUCACCUGUUGUUCUCCAUCCUGUGAAUGGUUUCUUUUAAAAUUUGAUUAGUUGUUUUUAUAUUUAGAAAAAGAAAUAGCUUGUAAGUGCCUAUGUUUUUUCUUUGCUCAUGUUUUAACAAAUAAAAGGCCUUUAUAAUA